UAGACUCAUCUAAUCGGGUUUCCGACCAUGAUGAUUUGGACGUCUGCCAUUUUUACCCUGGCUCGUCUUAAAUGUCUUUGUGGAAUUGGCGUAAUAAGUUUAUCGCUUUUUGUCCACUCUAAUAUCAUUUAAGCU
rnacentral:misc_RNA from 1 species